UAAAGUCAAUCGCUUGUCCAAUUCUGGUAUGAUGUACAGUGGCGGAUCAAGGAAAGAUCAUAGAAAUACAAAUAUAUACAUACAAUAUUAUUUUGUUUUCAUUUUUUUCUUAAAAGAAUCUCUCUCUCUCUCUCUCUCUCUCUCCCCCCUCCUUUUCUUUCACUCUAUUUCGCGCUCGCUCUCCACUUCCACUUACUUUUCCCACUUCGCUUUCAAUCAAAUGCUUUCACUGAGAAUCUGAGAAGCUUCUCUUUCCCUUAAGAACAAUGAAUCGUGGUCCAAACAAGUUUACCGAACAUCGAAUCCAUACUAAGCUCACUGCUCCUCCGCCUCCGUCGCUGACCACCACGAACAACAGAAACAUUCUCAUGCCGGUGAUGAGGCCUCCAAGAAUUGUCAGAAUAUCGGUCACCGAAGGCGACGCCACCGACUCUUCCAGCAACGAUGAGUAACAAGGAGGCUUCGCCGUCAGAGAGUCAAGAAGUUCGUCAACGAGAUAGCCAUCGAGUCUUGCUCCUCGAGAGAGAAGGACGGAGCAGGAGGAGUUUGGAGGAGUAGUAGAUCGUCGAUGACGUGCCGGAAAAGGUUCGCCGGAGGAGGAAACACAAGGCUUAAGGCGACCCACCGGAGUUUAAAAGCUCCGGCAAAGACGGCGGCGAAGAAGUUUCGCGGCGUGAGGUAGAGACUUGGGGAAAAUGGGCGGCCGAGAUUAGAGAUCCCAGGAGACGUGUACGUGAGAGAGCGUUUUUGCGAGGGAAAUUGAAAGCUUCUCUCUGAUUGUGCUCCUGACUCUGUGACCUACAUUCUUGAGUUGCUUACUUUGAGUCAUUAUGCUGGUUGUCAAUUUUAUUGUGCUGAGAGCCGAGGAGAGUCUUGGGACUCAGAAGGAAACCACAUAAAAAAUGAUUACAGAUUUUAAUUUAUAAAUGGCUAUGUUUGGAGGUUAGUACUUUUAUGCUUUAAUAGAAUUUAUUAUGUAUAUUUUAGAUUUGCAUAAUUAAGAUAAAUUCUUACAAUUGAUAUCAGAGCAUGGUUAAUAUGCAUAAUAAAUUCUUUUGUAAUUUUUCGUUAUAUUGACUGUGUUCCCAUUGUGAACAUUGAUAUGUUAUUAUAUUAAACUGUACAAACAUGUUUGAGCAUCAAAUUGUUUCUAUUAGGCCAUUGAUUUAUCUGUGUAUUCUAAAUAUAUAUACAUUGCUUUACAUUAAUUUUUUUUUCUUUUCUUUUUUAUUUUAUUUGUGUACAUGUGUAAAUUAUGAGAUUCAAGAUUACAUAUUUUGUGAAUAUAUAUACAUGUUCGAUUUCUAUUUCGAAUAAAUAAAAAUUAAAAAAAAUUUGUGAAAUAUCGGCUCCGUUUACAUUGUAUAUUGGUUUUGCAAAAUAUUGGAAAACUUGUGUUUUGCAUGAUUUAUGACCUGGGUUUUGUGGUAUUUUCUUUUUCGGAUGGAAUGGAACAAGUUUUUAGCGUUAUUUUGGAUUGAAACCUCCAAAUUGGGUCUGAAAACUCUCGUAAAAAGGCCGAAAUUCAUCCUGCUUGGGUGUUUAAUUUUCUGGGUCUUUUGGAUCAAAUUAACUUGGGGAAAUAAUUGCCAAGAGUAGACGAAUUCAACGUCUCCGGUACCACCAGAAAUGGAAGCUGGAAUGGCGAGAUAUGGCCGGGUACAGAUAUCGGGUCGCAUGACCCGUCUGCACUGAAAUCAGGUUGACUCGUGACCUGGAUUUGAGGAAGGAGACAUGUACUACAUGCCGUUUGGAGCCCUUUAGUGUUGACGUCAGCACAAUGUGUCAUUCGCUGGCAUCAGCAUGUUGGCGUUAGCAGCCGAAAUGUAUAUAAAAAAAAAAAAAAAAAGAAGGGAAGUUUUGUUAUUUAAUUCAUUCAUUGUUUAUUUAUUUAUAUGGCUAUUUAUUUGUAUAGUUAUUUAUUUACUUAUUUAUUUGGUUAGUUAUUUGUUUAA